GAUGAAGAACGCAGCGAAAUGCGAUAAGUAAUGUGAAUUGCAGAAUUCAGUGAAUCAUCGAGUCUUUGAACGCACAUUGCGCCCCCUGGUAUUCCGGGGGGCAUGCCUGUCCGAGCGUCAUUGCUGCCCUCAAGCACGGCUUGUGUGUUGGGCCCCCUUCCCCGGUUUCCCCCGGGGACGGGCCCGAAAGGCAGCGGCGGCACCGCGUCCGGUCCUCGAGCGUAUGGGGCUUUGUCACCCGCUCUGUAGGCCCGGCCGGCGCCAGCCGACACCCAACUUUAUUUCUAAGGUUGACCUCGGAUCAGGUAGGGAUACCCGCUGAACUUAAGCAUAUCAAUAAGCGGAGGA
rnacentral:misc_RNA from 1 species